rnacentral:rRNA from 1 species
CCUACGGGAGGCAGCAGUGGGGAAUAUUGCGCAAUGGGGGAAACCCUGACGCAGCAACGCCGCGUGAGUGAGGAAGGACUUCGGUCUGUAAAGCUCUGUUAAUGAGGAAAAAUGGUAGUUGGUCUAAUAGGCCGAUUAUUUGAUGGUACUCAUAGAGGAAGCACCGGCUAACUUCGUGCCAGCAGCCGCGGUAAUACGAAGGGUGCAAGCGUUGUUCGGAUUUAUUGGGCGUAAAGCGCGCGUAGGCGGACCUGCAAGUAAGAUGUGAAAUCUCGAGGCUCAACCUCGAAACUGCGUCUUAAACUACAGGUCUAGAAUCUCGGAGGGGGAAGGGGAAUUUCGCAUGUAGGGGUAAAAUCCGUAGAUAUGCGAAGGAACACCAGAGGCGAAGGCGCCUUCCUGGACGAGUAUUGACGCUGAGGCGCGAAAGCGUGGGGAUCAAACAGGAUUAGAUACCCUGGUAGUCCACGCUGUAAACGAUGAACACUAGGUAUUGGAGGAUUUGACCCCUUCAGUGCCGUAGCUAACGCGUUAAGUGUUCCGCCUGGGAAGUACGGUCGCAAGCUAAAACUCAAAGGAAUUGACGG